UUCCUACGGGGCGCAGCAGUGAGGAAUAUUGGUCAAUGGCCGGAAGGCUGAACCAGCCAAGUCGCGUGAGGGAAUAAGGCCCUAUGGGUCGUAAACCUCUUUUGUCAGGGAGCAAAGGCGUCCACGAGUGGACGAAAGGAGAGUACCUGAAGAAGAAGCAUCGGCUAACUCCGUGCCAGCAGCCGCGGUAAUACGGAGGAUGCGAGCGUUAUCCGGAUUUAUUGGGUUUAAAGGGUGCGCAGGCGGUCUGUUAAGUCAGCGGUCAAAGCCCGGGGCUCAACCCCGGCCCGCCGUUGAAACUGGCA
rnacentral:rRNA from 1 species